AUUGAACGCUGGCGGCAUGCCUUACACAUGCAAGUCGAACGGUAACAGGUCUUCGGAUGCUGACGAGUGGCGAACGGGUGAGUAAUACAUCGGAACGUGCCCGAUCGUGGGGGAUAACUACUCGAAAGAGUAGCUAAUACCGCAUACGAUCUACGGAUGAAAGCGGGGGAUCUUCGGACCUCGUGCGGACGGAGCGGCCGAUGGCAGAUUAGGUAGUUGGUGGGAUAAAAGCUUACCAAGCCGACGAUCUGUAGCUGGUCUGAGAGGACGACCAGCCACACUGGGACUGAGACACGGCCCAGACUCCUACGGGAGGCAGCAGUGGGGAAUUUUGGACAAUGGGCGAAAGCCUGAUCCAGCAAUGCCGCGUGCAGGAUGAAGGCCUUCGGGUUGUAAACUGCUUUUGUACGGAACGAAAAGACUCCUUCUAAUACAGGGAGUCCAUGACGGUACCGUAAGAAUAAGCACCGGCUAACUACGUGCCAGCCGCCGCCGUAAAAC
rnacentral:rRNA from 1 species